rnacentral:lncRNA from 1 species
CAAGCGGCGGCGGCGCGUGGCGCGCGGCGCUGCGGCGUGGCGUCGCGGCGUCUGGGCGGCGGCGCUGCGGCGUGCGCGUGCAUCUCAGGUGGCGCCAGUGCACGUGGCACAGACAGUGGCGGAUCCGUGCAACCCGCAUGGAUCUGGUCAAGAGGGUGGUACCCUGUCACUGCCUGGCUCCACCUGGUCCCAGUGGAAGAAGAAGAGCAGGAAGCUUCUAGCACCCACCCUCUGGGCCACCAACAGCCAGAUCCACAGUGUGGCCACCUGAAUCAGCACCACCUGCCUUGGGGACCGGAGCAUGAAGGCCCAGAUAUGACCAGCACAGUGGGGCAGAGGAUGCAGGUGGGCAGGAUGUGCUGUGCGGAUCCAAGGAGCCCCUCUCUCGAGGCUGGGGCAUAACCUCUCCAUCUUAUUGACGCAUAAUAUUUUAGCUCUUUGUAGGGUACAUACUGUAGCAGGACGAGCCGCAGACGAAACUCCUCAGACACCGGAUUAAAGAAGGAAGAGGUUUUUUUAUUCGGCCAGGAGCGUCGGCAGACUCGCUUCUUAAGAGCCGAGCUCCCCAAAAAAGAAAUUCCUAGCCCUUUUUAGGGCUUACAACUCUAAGGGGUCCACGUGAAAGGGUCGUGAUAAAUCGAGCAAGCAUGGGAAAUGUGACUGGGGGCUACAUGCAUCAGCUAACAGAACAAAAAGUUUUACAAUGCUUUUUUCAUACAGUGUCUGGAAUUUACAGAUAACACAAGUAGUUUAGGCCAGGGGUUGAUGUUAUUACUAUUACUUUGUUUAACUCCUAGGACUGGGUGGUGGUGCCAAGGUUGUCUGGCUAUUUAUCUUACUUUUGUUUCUCUCUCUCUUUUCUCCUGUCUUUGAACUAGGCAAGGUGGGGGGAGGAGGGCAGCAGGAGUAGUAGUGGUCUCCUUCCUUAAUACAAAUGCUUGUUACAUGCAUAAAAUGUGUAUUCUGGUUACUUUGAAUAUUUACACAUAAUAUUGUUAUUUAGUCACCAUAGUCUGCUGUCAAACAUUACAGCUUAUUUCUUCUAACUGCGGUCUGUACCCAAUAGCCAACUUCUCUUCAUUCUCCCUUCCACACCCCGUCUUCCCGGCCUCUGGUACUAACAUCGCAUUCUCUGGGUCCAUGAGAUCAAGCUUUUUUUUUAGCUCCUACAUGUGAGUGAGAACCUGCGGUAUUUGUCCUUCUGUGCCUGGCUUAUUUUACUCAAUGACUUCCAGAUCUACCCUUAUUUCUGAAAAUGACAUGAUUUCAUUAUUUGUUAUGCCAAAUAGUAUUCUACUGUGUAUAUUUAGUACAUCUUACUUAUCCAUUCAUCAGUUGAUGAAUACUUGCAUUGACUCUGUAUCUUUGCUAUUGUGAAUAAUGCUGUGAUAAACACAAGCAUGCAAGUUACCCUUUGUUACACUGAACUUUUUCCUUUGGAAGAAUACCCCUCCCCCAC